AGUUUAGAUUAACUGAAGACAUGGAAGGGCUUUCAAAGUCUUCAAUCCCUUCCACCUUGAUGGAAGAAGGGCUAAGAAGAGUUCUAGGAGACAACUCCAUGGUUUUGCUCACAGGGCUGGCACUGGCCUUCUCCUCCAGCUUCCUCUUGAGAGUGUUCAUCGUGGAGGUGGGAGUUGAAGGGGAAGUGGCCGAGCUUGCCGGAAUCUGAGGACCGUGACACUGCCUUGUCAAUGCCCUCAACCUGCCUCCUACCCCGCCUCUUCAGAAUGAUUUUCAACCGUGCAGUUGCUCAGCAGUGUGGAUGAACGAGCGCGGAGGCUGAGACCGCCCGACUCAUCCACUCCCUGGAAACCAAACCCGGUGUAACCCAGUGCAGCAUUAGCGUCCUCACAGGACCGGAGUCCACCCUCGUCCUUCAAGGCUGAACGCAUGAUGAAUGGUGACGAGGUUGCAGAGGUUUAUGAAUGAACCACCAGUCAAAACAGAGCCACCAGCCACCACUUCGUUUAGACCAACAUCCGCUGUCGGAGUACUCGUAACUUCUAAACGUUGGGCUGCCACCCAGAAGCCAGGGACCAAAGGGGCCAAGACCCAAUUCUUCACUUCGAGUAUUUUGCACAGUUUAACCUCACAGCAAAUUGGAAUGUUCUGGAAAGAAGAGGCGAGCAAAACAGAAGGUCCUUGAAACCAAGAAGGGUGGUUCCCCACUCCCUCAUCCGUUAAAAACAAAGUCAUGGAGAAAAGUACUGCUUCUAACUCAGUGUGCUACUGAGAGAGAAUGGAAGACGGCAGAGAGUAAAUGGUGACGUCUUAACGGCAGAAUAUUUGAUGGGCAAAGGUGAAAAAGCCAGGGCAAGCAGAAGGAGGGUCUUGAUGGAGGAAGAAUGGCCUCUUAAGUUUGCUCAUCAGAAUAAACCGCUUUGUGGAUUUGAACGCAUCAUCUAAGGUGUCUGGAUGUACGGUCAGAACUGCGGGGUCAUGACCACAUGGGGGUGACAAAGGGAAGCCUCUCUGGUGGGGUACCGCUUCCCCCCUCGUCCCCCCUCCUCUACAGAAAGGGACGUUUUUCAACCCAACAGAUCUGCCUGAAAGCUUUUUAACAUUCCAGGUGUGAGGACUGAGCAGUCCCUACAAGCAUCCAUCUUUCAGUAACACCCGGUUUGAAAUAAACACUGCCAGGCUUCCACGGUUAGCGGGGAGAAGACAAGAGAGACAAACACAUGAGUGAUAGAAAAAGUGUAAAUUAAAAAAUUUAACAGUUUCCAUUAAAGAAGGCUGGUAUCACCUUCUGAGUCAAAACUGACUGGGCUUGUCAGAGAGAGACCUUAUGCUUAAUGCAAGACAAAACAAAACAAAAUCUAUGAUGUGUUCCCUAAUUUAUUUAUUUUUACUUGGAAAAUGUUGGAAAUACAUAGAUGAAAAAAAAAAGUCAAGGCAGGCCUAUAAGUGUACUUAAGCAUCUAUAUACAAAUGAAGGUGUAUGGGAAAUGAACAGGAUGUACCAGAAGCGAUAUUCGAUGAUGGUGAUUAGAACCUAAUGGGUAUAAGUGAAACCUUGUGGGAGGGCUCUGGUAACGGGAACGCCAAUGCUGAUGGACGCAAUCUAUACGGGAAUGAUAGCAAGGAGGGGGGUAGGGGGUGGCCGUGCAGACCCGAGGUGUCACAAUGCGGGGGAGA